CCUACGGGUGGCAGCAGUGAGGAAUAUUGGUCAAUGGACGAGAGUCUGAACCAGCCACGUAGCGUGAAGGAUGACUGCCCUCUGGGUUGUAAACUUCUUUUAUAUGGGAAUAAAAUGUUCCACGUGUGGGAUUUUGUAUGUACCAUAUGAAUAAGGCUCGGCUAACUCCGUGCCAGCAGCCGCGGUAAUCCGGAGGUUCCGAGCGUUAUCCGGAUUUAUUGGGUUUAAAGGGAGCGUAGGUGGAUUGUUAAGUCAGUCGUGAAAGUUUGCGGCUCAACCGUAAAAUUGCAGUGGAAACUGGCAGUCUUGAGUACAGUAGAGGUGGGCGGAAUUCCUGGUGGAGCGGUGAAAUGCUUAGAUAUCACGAAGAACUCCGAUGGCGAAGGCAGUUCACUGGACUGCAACUGACACUGAGGCUCGAAAGUGUGGGUAUCAAACAGGAUUAGAUACCCUUGUAGUC
rnacentral:rRNA from 1 species